rnacentral:rRNA from 1 species
GCAGGCGGUUUGUUAAGUCAGAUGUGAAAGCCCGGGGCUCAACCUCGGAACCGCAUUUGAAACUGGCAGGCUAGAGUCUUGUAGAGGGGGGUAGAAUUUCAGGUGUAGCGGUGAAAUGCGUAGAGAUCCGAAGGAAUACCAGUGGCGAAGGCGGCCCCCUGGACAAAGACUGACGCUCAGAUGCGAAAGCGUGGGUAGCAAACAGGAUUAGAUACCCUGGUAGUCCACGCCGUAAACGCUGUCUACUUGGAGGUUGAGGUUUAAGACUUUGGCUUUCGGCGCUAACGCAUUAAGUAGACCGCCUGGGGAGUACGGCCGCAAGGUUAAAACUCAAAUGAAUUGACGGGGGCCCGCACAAGCGGUGGAGCAUGUGGUUUAAUUCGAUGCAACGCGAAGAACCUUACCUACUCUUGACAUCCAGCGAAUCCUUUAGAGAUAGAGGCGUGCCUUCGGGAGCGCUGAGACAGGUGCUGCAUGGCUGUCGUCAGCUCGUGUUGUGAAAUGUUGGGUUAAGUCCCGCAACGAGCGCAACCCUUAUCCUUGUUUGCCAGCACGUAAUGGUGGGAACUCCAGGGAGACUGCCGGUGAUAAACCGGAGGAAGGUGGGGACGACGUCAAGUCAUCAUGGCCCUUACGAGUAGGGCUACACACGUGCUACAAUGGCAGAUACAGAGGGCAGCGAAGCUGCGAAGUGGAGCGAAUCCCUUAAAGUUUGUCGUAGUCCGGAUUGGAGUCUGCAACUCGACUCCAUG